CAAUUGUUGUGAUAUGACUAUACUUAUUAUAUAGCUAUAACUACCUUGUAUGGCGCCGUAUAGCUUCUACAGUUGGAGUUGUUAGUUGUCCUUUACAUCAGGAUCACGUCCGUACAGCUAGGCCGAUUUGUAACAACUCAUUAGUCCAUCGCUUGCCAUUCGGAACACUCGGGACUCUUCAUGUAGCUUGUUCUUGUACCGAUGUUCUCCACAUGUUUAUA
rnacentral:lncRNA from 1 species